AUUGAACGCUGGCGGCAUGCCUUACACAUGCAAGUCGAACGAUGAAAGCGGGAGCUUGCUCCUGCUGGAUUAGUGGCGAACGGGUGAGUAACACGUGAGCAAUCUGCCCCGAACUCUGGGAUAAGCGUUGGAAACGACGUCUAAUACCGGAUACGACGCGCGAAGGCAUCUUCUGCGCGUGGAAAGAACUUCGGUUCGGGAUGAGCUCGCGGCCUGUCAGCUAGUUGGUGAGGUAACGGCCCACCAAGGCGACGACGGGUAGCCGGCCUGAGAGGGUGACCGGCCACACUGGGACUGAGACACGGCCCAGACUCCUACGGGAGGCAGCAGUGGGGAAUAUUGCACAAUGGGCGCAAGCCUGAUGCAGCAACGCCGCGUGAGGGACGACGGCCUUCGGGUUGUAAACCUCCUUUAGUAGGGAAGAAGCGAAAGUGACGGUACCUGCAGAAAAAGCACCGGCUAACUACGUGCCAGCCGCCGCAGUAAGAC
rnacentral:rRNA from 1 species